CUACCCAGAGUUAGGGGGAGUUUGUUGCGAAGAGUAGUGGGGAGGAAUCGUGGCUAUCACCGGGACACGCCACGAGGAGUCUGUUGCGGGGAGUGGAGCGGCGUCUGUUGUCGCGACUUGCCAGACGAUGGAAGAAUCAUGCGGUAUCCAUCGCAGGAAGUGGAGCAGGAUCGUGGGCAUCAUAGCGAUCUGUCAGGGAGUAAUGGGGCCGUGCGGAAUCCAUCGUAGGAAGUGGAGCAGGAUCGUGGUCGUUGCUGCGUCACGCCAGGGAGUGCAGACCUGUCGGAUGAAGUUCGGCUGGAGCAUCUGGCGGAGAUAGGUGGUUAGCUAUUCGUUUGAGAGGAGCCCAGAGUCUG
rnacentral:lncRNA from 1 species